AUCUGCCGACAUUUAAAGAAAGAACAAUCCAGAAACCAGAACGUUUUGUUUCAAAAAACGAUUCAUUUACACAAAAUCGAGUAGACAAUUUCGUGUCUAUUCUCUUAAUCGUUGUUAAGAUAGACAACUGAUUUGAUUUGGCGACUUGUUGAAACCAAUUGUACUCUCCACGCUGCUUUAUUGCAGGUUUGUAAAUCGAUCUCUAUUCCCAGUUAUGAAUAUUCUUAAUUUUUUUUUGGAAUCGUUAGAUUUUUAGUAUUGGAGUAGAUCACUUAUCAGAUCCAUAUAGACAGUCUUCAAUUACCCGUACAUCAAACGAUUUCAAGAGCUGCAGAAGAUCUUCGAGGUUAUAUACUUAUCAUCAUCUCGGGUUAUAAUUUGGAUUAUGUUAAAAAUAGUCUUAUUAAAGCGACAAAGAUAGAGAGGAAAGCAAUGCAAGGCCAGCAAGCACACAUAAUGGCUUUACAUCGGUUAAAUUGUGACUUGAUUUUAGCAAAACGGAUUACACAAAUAACCAUGAUGCCAUCAGCCUCAGCACAAGCUCUGAAAACUUGUUCUGCAAAUUCUCCCCACAAGGUGAUAUUAACCUUUUCAUCGGAGAAGAUACAUUCAAGAGUCUCGCUAGUAGUCAGGCGCCAUGAAUGGAGAACUUUCACCUGAAUUCUCCAAGAGGUUUUGUAAGGGCGUACAUCUCUCAAGUAAGCGAAUGAAGCAGCAAUUUCAGAGUAUAGUAGAUGCGGAAAUGUAUAGGUAAUUGUUUUUUCUUUUGGAGGUGGUGGUUUUUCUAUUGGGUAGAGAAUGGCACAUAUAUAUAGUUUCCAAGGUUGUAGGUAGGGUUUUCUCUUUUUUCAGUGAGAUGUAAUCUUCAUUCGCAAGUUUAGAGAAUAUUCUUGCGAUUUGUGCUUGUUUUGUUUUAGGGAAUAAUGCUAAGUGAUAUCGUUAUUUUUAGUAUAGUUAGGAUUUCAUUUAUGUAAUCCGAUCAUUAGGAAAUCAUUAGGAAUAUACGUAUAACCACUUACCUAAUUGUUUUUGUUCUCUCGAUAUUUUAGGGA